rnacentral:rRNA from 1 species
UACGGAGGGUGCAAGCGUUAUCCGGAUUCACUGGGUUUAAAGGGUGCGUAGGUGGGCUUGUAAGUCAGUGGUGAAAUCUCUGAGCUUAACUCAGAAACUGCCAUUGAUACUAUAGGUCUUGGAAUCUUCUGGAGGUCAGCGGAAUAUGUCAUGUAGCGGUGAAAUGCUUAGAUAUGACAUAGAACACCAAUUGCGAAGGCAGCUGACUACGGGAGCAUUGACACUGGA